CCCCCCCCCCCCCCCCACCCCUCCGCCGGCUGCCGUUCAGAACAGGGGUCGUCUUCCUGCGAGAGGGUCCCCAGGGCCUCCCUCCUAGUCUGACAGGAUCCACGUCGGCCUGAAGCAAGGCCUGCUUAGAGCAACACAGUGUCUUUUCUCCCCGAACCCCGUAAGACCACUCCCAACUGGUUCCUGUUCCCCUUCAGUGGACAGUGGUAGCCCGAACCAAACCCGCAGCCUCAUCAUGGAAGACUCAAGAACCAUUUCCCAAGUGAUGAGGGUUUACUGGGGGAGUCCUUUCCCCCAGAGUCCCUGAAAGGCGUGUGUCCGCCCCAAAUCAGAGCCAGCACAGCCUAGUUUCGGAAGGCAGUGCCGCACCUUGACCGGCACCUCUGCAAACUGCUUUCCGUAGCCGUGAGCUUGAGCAGCGGCCCCAGGUGUUUCUGGAUCGUCUGGGGCUUUAACGCUCUUUAACACAAGCCAUUCUCACCUCCUACCGGAGUUAAGUACAGUACCGCCUGCCCGCCUCACCUGCACCCCUCCUCCUGGAGCUGGGAGCUUGACUCACCGCGGGCCCAGUGGAGCUGCCCUACUAGGCAGCCUUUAGGAAGAGGGCGGGGAGGGACGCUGGGGCUGAUGCUCUGUCCAGGCCUCCCCCAGGUAGCCCAGGAAGGCACUCACAACGAGCACCCAUUCCUCAGCAUCUCAAUUCCCAGUGUGGCCUAAUGAGCUGUUCUUGGGAAUUGGAAUUAAGGAGCACUUAUUCAGCAACUAUUUCCCGAAUAUGCAAUAUGAUCGUGAACGGACAGGACUUAUAGUUAUUCCAGCUCCAACGCUUACAAGCAGAGUUCAUUGGUGCAACCUCUCUGUGCCUCAGUCUCCUCAUUUAUAAAAUGGGGCUAGUUGAAUCUUCCUAGUAGAGUCCUUGUGAGGCUUAACUGAGAUGAAACCACUUCGAAGAGUGCAAGCACAUAGUAAGCUUUCAAUGAUCAUUAGCUAUUAGUAUUUUGAUCAUUUUCCAAGGACUUGUCCCUAAGUCCAGGUAUGGUUCACUCUGUUGGUGCCUAAAGAGAUGGUUUAGAAUAUCCCUUCUCAGACUAAACUAGUAAAAGAGGAGACGAAGAUGGUGGAAAGCUGCAGAUGCAAAAAGAUAGGAAGAAAAAUGGCAGAGAGAAGGAGACAGAAUGAAUAAUGGAAAUGAUCUAAGGGAAUCGAAGAAGUUGCUGAUGGUGAGAUGCACAAGGUCAGAGGUGCCCAGGACUAAGGAGAAAGAGGGCAGAGCAAGUGUGAACAGCCGGGACCGGCCUGGGGUCGCAGCGCGGGGCUCCAGGACACCGAGCGAGGAAGACCCUCCAUGGCUGCGGCCGCCUCUGGACUUCCAACUUCAGGGCCACUGAAGUUGGAAGUUCUCUGAAUAAAUCAUUCCUAGUAAAACGAGGGCAUUAAAGGAUGAAAGAGAAGAUAGGCCAAAGUGAAAGAAAUUUACUUACACAUCCAUCCUGAGUUUACCUAUUUUUUUUCAUGCCAAGAUCUGAUAUUGCUUGGGCCACUCCAUUCAUUUCCCUAUGGAACCUCCUUGUCAGAGAAAAGCGCAAGUAUCAAUAUAUUACUCCCUACCUAUUGGGGGAAAUAACCCGUUCGAUAAAUUCUUCCUGACCAGCCUACUAUGUGUUAGGCUUCAGGUGAAGGUCUAGGGGUACACAGCUCUGGUUAUGCCACAGCCUCUAAGGACCCACAUGGCAGGGACUGAAUCCUGUGACGACACUCCCUCUACUCCCAGCCCCGGGAUAAUCCUCCUUUUCCCAGGUAGGUUUCAGGAACCCAAGAACAGCACAGGGAUACUCGGGAUCAGAGAAUCGGGAUCACAAUGUGUAUUGCUUCGUACCAGGUCAUUGGUAUAGUUUACACAAUGUGGUAAACUACCCAUCUUUCCCACUUCCCAGGGAGGUGGGGCUCAUUUACAGGAGGAAAGUGGGCUGUGGUGGUUCACUAACGUGCUAACGACCUAUAGACAGUAAGGAGCUGGUUGACGCUAAGGCUCUGGCCGCGCCUUCCCGGGAGCACUCCAAGAUAGGUCGGAAGGACCUGCGCGGCGGGAAUCCGGACGAUUCAUACCGCAGCCUCUCAGGCUGGGAGUUCCGGGCUCUCCUUCGCCCCGGGGACGCCGCCUAGUACCCCGGGAGCUUCUGAAGCCCGCGGAGACUUCUGGAUUGCUUUCCCGCCCCCCAGAGACGGCGCCAAAGAGCCACAAUACUGUCCACAACGCGCCCGCGAGAAUGUGCCCUCCGGGUCGCGGCUCAGAGCGCCCCAGGACACGCUCCCCGAGCGCGACUGCUAGCCCGACGCGCGUCAAGCGGAAGCACUGGGUUGCCGGGUGCGGAGCGAGCUGGGGAGGCGAGAGGGCGGCGCGGGGCUUAGAAAAGGAAAAGUCGCUCUGCCCCAGUCUUCGGAGCACUAAUGUCAUCAACCCUGGGUAGCAGGGGCGGGCCCCGAGCCGGUGACCUGGACAAUGAUCUGAGAGGGGCCUGGGGCCGCGGCGGGCUGGAAAGAGGGAGGCGGGGCCGCCAGGAGCUUCGGGGAGUUCAAGUCUUACCCUGGGAAGAUGGUGUAGAAGCUUCCUAGGGUCUGGCCUUCAAAGUAGCAGCUGCAGCUCGGCUAUUGGGGUAUCGAGGGGCUGGGAACACGCAGGCAGCUGAGCCUUAGGCUCCAGACACCCGGAACCCCACACACUCGCAGGCGCCCGCCGUGCCGGUAGAGGGGCGCUCUGGUCUAGGGCGUCGCUGUGUCUGGGACGCUGGCGAUUCUCCGCUGCAGCACAGCUCCCCGAGGAGGAUGCGCAGGAGGGAGCCCCAGCUCCUGCGCAGCCCUCUGCUUUCCCGCACCCUCCACAUGCAUCACGGCAGCCCCUCCAGAAGCCUCCUUCAUACACACAUCUUCCUCCCCGCCACCGCAGUCCUGAGCGCGCUUAACCAGAGUCAAACCAAAACAGGCCGACUUCUGAUGCUGAGAAGACAAGGAUGCCUUUGGGCGGCGUGGUCUUCACCAGGCCCUCACUGGAGACCCCUGGGAAUGGCGACUCUCAGUGUGGACUCCCCAGGGUAAGCACGACGCUGGAUUCAGACUUCCUACAUCCUCAUCUUGAUAAACUGGCCUUCAUCUUGUACCAAACUGGAGAUAUGAUGAUAAACUAUCUUACACGGUUAUAUGAUCAAAAGGCUGAGUAUUUACCACUUAAGAGUCCAGUCAGACAAGCUUGGUGUACAAGCACACACCAGUCUGUUUGAUACAAGGUAGCUUUGAUUUUGCUUUGUUUCCUUAUUUUUGGUCCACAGGAUACCAAACCGCUGGAUUAAUGGAUUUCUUUCCCGUGGACGAGUGGAUCUAAUAUUUGAUGUUUUACCUAUUUCUGAGGAUCUCCAAUGUCAGCAGUUACCUGUUUUCACAAACCACCCCUCACUGUCCUGGUGAUGAGUGAGGCAGCCACGCUGGCCCCUAGGCAAGGGGACAGCAUCCCCUGGCUCCCAUCCUGCUGGAGCUUACAAGACAUUGGGAGUGUGGGGUGUAGAUCGAAGGAUACAGCCAGUCAAGAAACGCCUCUAUAGAGAGGAAAAGGGGGCAUGGCCUGCUUUGCCGAAAGUAAGGAGGAAUUCGGGCUGGACCAGGAGGGAGGUGGGUGUGAGGCCCUUGGGGGCUAGGCUUCAGCAGAAAUCCUCAUCCUUGCUCUGAUCAGAUGCUGCUGAAGAACUGAGUUUAUGUUUUCUCCCUGGGGACAGUGGUUCUCGACCCUCUCUGUACCUCUGAAUCCUUUGUAAAGUGUCGAAAACCACGAUGGUCAGGCCCCACCCCCAUAUUUGGCUCUAGGGAUCUGUGGCAGAGACCCAGGCAAUAGAGUUUUUAAAAAGCUUCCCCGGGUGAUUCUAACGCAUGAGUUGGUGUUGAGACCUUGUCCCGGGCUUGCUAGCUGCAACUUCUGCUAUACCACACCGUCUUUCCCUCUUUAGCUACUUAAAGAGCCCUCAGCACACCCAGAAUGGGACAGAGGCUGUGGAUUUGACUCCUCGAAUACAGUUUUCAGUUUUUUAAAAAAUUAAUUUUGUUGUGCUAGGUCUUAGCUGCCGCAGGCGGGCUCCUUAGUUGCGGCAUGAGAACUCUU